rnacentral:rRNA from 1 species
UACGUAGGGGGCAAGCGUUAUCCGGAUUUACUGGGUGUAAAGGGGGCGCAGACGGCGAUGCAAGCCAGGAGUGAAAGCCCGGGGCCCAACCCCGGGACUGCUCUUGGAACUGCGUGGCUGGAGUGCAGGAGGGGCAGGCGGAAUUCCUGGUGUAGCGGUGAAAUGCGUGGAUAUCAGGAGGAACACCGGUGGCGAAGGCGGCCUGCUGGACUGCAACUGACGUUGAGGCCCGAAAGCGUGGGGAGCAAACAGG